CCCUUAGAUGUUCUGGGCCGCACGCGCGCUACACUGAUACGUUCAACGAGCUCCUUGACCGAGAGGCCCGGGUAAUCUUUGAAACCGUAUCGUGAUGGGGAUAGAACAUUGCAAUUAUUGUUCUUCAACGAGGAAUGCCUAGUAAGCGCGAGUCAUCAUCUCGCGUUGAUUACGUCCCUGCCCUUUGUACACACCGCCCGUCGCUCCUACCGAUUGAACGUGCUGGUGAAGCGUUAGGACUGGAGGUCUUGGGCCGGUUCGCCUGCCCAUAGCUUCGGGAAUUUCGUUGAACCCUNCNGUUUAANGGAAGGAGAANUCGUANCA
rnacentral:rRNA from 1 species